AUUUAAAAAAAUAUAUUAUAUGAUAUAAAAAGUAAUUCAAAGGGGUUAUUAAGGAAAACUAAGGCAAAUUUAUAAAAAAGGAGGUAAUAAACCAAAAGCUUCAAGAAAUAUUAAUUUAUUUUCUGAUUGAAAAAAAGCGAUCCUAAGGUAAACCUUGUUUAAAAUUUACUUCCUGAAGUAAAACAUUUUAUUAGGGAAAGGAAAGGAAAUCAACCGAGACUCCGAAAGUAAUGGUGAGUGAAAUCGGAUUAGCCUAAAUUAAUAUUAUAAAUUGAAUAACUUUAACAUAUUUAUUAAAAAGGGGAUCUUUUGAUUUAUCAAUUGAAAUUACUUAAAAUUAUUUAUGUAUUAGUUAGCAAUAAUUUUUGUUUUAAAAUUUUAAUUGGUAUCUAAUCCAAAUAAGAAAAUAAAACAAAUCUUUGCUCUAAAGAAGGUAUCAAUUACUUUAAGUCCUGUAGAUUUAUAAAUUAAUUAAAAGAAUAAAUGAGUUUAUAUAAAAAUAUUUUAAUAGAAAUUAAAAAUUUAAUUUAAAUUAUAUUUUUUAAAUGUCUAAUAAAAAUCUUUAUUGUCUCUAAUCAUUAUUCUAAUAUAAAGUACGAUGAGAGAAAACUUGUCGGAAUAUAGGGGAACCAUCCUCUAAGGCUAAGUAUUAUAAAUUUAGCGAUAGUGAAUAAGUACUGUAAAGGAAAAGUUUGAAAAGCGAGUGGUAUACAAAAAGUGAAUUUUUAAUUUUUUAUUUUUAAUAUUUUAUUUAUUACAGAUAAUUUUAAACUCCUUAAUUGGAUUUUUUUAAAAUAAAUUGUAUUUAAAAAAAUAGGAAUAAAUAAUUUAGAAAUGAAUCGAUGAAAUAGAUCAUGAAUUAGUAACUCUAUAAGCAGUCGAAAUUCUACUUUAACAAAAAGAUUUAUGAAUGACGGCGUACCUUUUGCAUAAUGGGUCAGCAAGUUAAUAGGAGUAGCAAGGUUUAAAGCCCUAGCGAAAGCGACUGGACUAUAAUAAUAUUAUAAAUAAUAAUAUUAAUAAAUAUAGUGAUGGAUAAGUUACUUCUAUUAGACCCGAAGCCAGGUGAUCUUACCAAGACCAGAUUAUAAUGGAUCGAACGGGUGAAUGUUGCAUAAUUCUCCGAUGAGUCUUGGUAAGCGGUGAAAUGCCAAUCUGACCUGGUGCUAGCUGGUUUUCUACCGAAACAUAUUUAAGUAUGAUGUCUACACAAAAUUUAUGGAGGUACAGCAAGGCAAUUCCCAACAAGUUUAAGAGUUGUGAUUAUUUUAAUUACUUCAAAUCUUUUAGGCGUUUAGGUUGUGGGGACCUCGAAAAUCUUACCUUUGGAAGCGAAUCUCGGAAUUACAUAAAUUGAUGGUAGAUAUUCAGACUACUCAUGCUAAGUUGGGUAGUCAAGACGGAAACAGCCGAGAACACUGAUCAAGGUCCCAAAUGAUUGUUAAGUGAAAUUAAGGAUGUAGCAAUAUCGGAUACAGCUGUGAAGUGAGCCUGGUAGUCGCUACUUAUAAUGAUCGUAUGUAACAACGCAUCAGCAGUCUAGAUAGUAGCACCGAAAAUUUAACGGGUCUUAAACAAUCAACCGAUAUCGUGUUGGUUUUGAAUAAAAUUAUUAUUUUUUUUAAUUUAUAUUUAUAUUUAUUUUUAUAUUUAUAUUUAUAUAUUUAUAUUUAUAUUUAUAUUUAUAUUUUAUAUUUAUUCUCUUAUGAUUUUAUUCUUAAUCUAGGUAGUAGAACAUUCAGUCAAACUAAUAAUAAAACAGUGUUUCAUUGUUUUUUAGGUUACUGAAGAGAGAAUGCUGACAUGAGUAACGUAAAAAGAAGUUAUAAUACUUCUCGCCGAAUACAAAAGGGUUGCAAAUUGGAAAGGUUAAUCCGUUUUGUUUGAAUGCGGCCUCUAAGGACCAAAACCAAAGUUUUGGCUGAUGAGUAUAUAAUAGAAAGUCCAUUAAUUUUAAUUAAUGGUCCAAGAAAAUAAUAUUAUAAGUAAUUUAUUUUAAGAUAAAAUUCUCUUUUUUUAAUAUCUCUAAAUUAAAAAUAAAAUUAUUAUUUCUAAUUCUAUAAAAUAUCUCUAAUAGUGUUUAGAUAGUAUUAGAUUAAUUUGUAAAAAAAAAUUUUUAUUUAUUUAUUAGAUUAAUAGUCUUUGAAAAUAAAUUUAGAUAAUUUAUUAUCAUUAAUUUUUCUUUAGUUAUCAUAUUUAAUAAUAUUCUAAUAGAAAUAAAGAUAUAGAAUUUGGAAAAAUUUUUUAUUUUCUUUUUAGAUUAAGAAUGUGAAUUAUAGGUUAAAUUUUUUAUUACUUUAUUUUAUAUUUAUUAAAUUUGGCAAAACGUGCCAGACAACUAUUAGUUAUCAUAAUUAUUAAAAAAAAAUAAAAGUUAAAGGUUAUUUUAAAUAUUAAUCUCUGCAAAUUUUAUUAUAUGUUUUAUUAUAGUUGGAAUUUUGUAGUGCUAAUAUAACUUUACAAAUCUAUAUAGGAUCUUGUUAAAGAGAUCUAUUUCUAAUUUAUUUGUUAAAAUAAUUUAGAGUAUAGUCAUGAUUUAUGAUUAAAUUGGGGUUUUUUCAAUUAUAUUUAUUAUAUUAUCAAGGAUUAUUAUAAAAUUCUUACACUAAAAUUUUAUUUGGGUAUUUGAUUUUUGUAAUUAGAUAGUUGAAAGAUUUAUUAUAUAAUUUAUCAAAGUCUAGUAAAGUUGUCAUUUAUUGAUAAUUAUAGAUUUUGCCUCUCCCUAUUUUGAGUUUAUUAGUUAUUUAAUACCAAGAUCUGUUACUCUUUUUUGUUUUUUUUUUUGUUCAAGAGUGACAGUUAAGAAUUAUUCUAUCUAGGAAAAAUAAUAAAAUUUAGUUAAUUAAAUCAGAAAAAAAAAAAAGAAAAACCCAAAAAUACUAAGAGACUAUCCGGUUUCUUACAAAAAUUGAAAGUAAUUUUAACUAAAUUUAGGACAUUAUUUAUUUUAAAUUAUAAUUUCUAUAACCAAAAUAGAUUGAAUGAUAUCUUUUUUUUUAUGUUUAGUUUAUAUUAUUUUUAUAUGUUAUUUUUAACUUAACUAUUAACUAUAUUAAGUUACUAUAACUUUUUUUUGAUAAAACUAUAAUAAAUUUCAAUAUAACUUUAAUAUUUUUCAUUAAAAAUUUAAAUAGGGUUUUAAGAAAAAGUUAAAAAAUCAUGAACAAAAAACAAAAAGUUGUAUCUAACGAUCUUGUUGUUUAGAAGUAAUAUUUUUUUAUUUUAAAAAAUAUUUACUAAAAAUUUUUUAAAUGUAAUCUAUUUUACUACCGUACCCUAAACCGACACAGGUUUGUAGGUAGAGAAUACUAAGGCGUAGAGCUAAAAGUUGUUAAGGAACUCGGCAAAUUAACCUCAUAAGUUUGACAAAAAGAGGGACCACAAAUAUAAUUUUAAUACUCCGGAUUGUAAAAUUAAUUAUAUAAGGUGGUGGCACAAAAUCGGAGGCCCCGACUGUUUACUAAAAACACAACACAGUGCAAUCAUUAAUAUGAUAGUAUACUGUGUGAAAUUUGCCCGAUGCCAUUAAUAUAAGAGCGGUUAUGGGUAACUGUAACUAAUCGAAAAUCUGGUUAAUAGCGGUCUUAACUAUGAGGAUCCUAAGGUAGCAAAAUCAGUUGGCCAUUAAAUGUGGUCCGGUAUCAAUAAUGUAACGAUGGCCUCACUGUCUCUACAACUUGCUCAGUGAAAUUGAAUUACACGUGCAGAUGCGUGUUACCUCCAGGGGGACGGGAAGACCCUAUGCAGCUUUACUGUAGUUAGUUAUCACAUGAAUCUAGAACAAUCUUAGUUAAUAGUAAAUAGGGAAGUCGAGAGACAAAUAUUGGAAACCUUAAAAUUAAGGUUGGGUUUAUGUUUACCUUACAAUUAAAAAAAAAAGGGAGAGUUGACUAAUUGGCAGUUUGACUGGGGCGGUCGUCUUUAAUAGAGUAGCAAAGUACAUCCAAAUAUUUACUAAAUAUAUUAGGUUUUACACCGAAAUUCUCAAGAUAAGAGUAAUUGCUUAAAAAAGAUUUAUAAUUUUAAUUAAUUUUUGAAUUUUGAUCUUUAAGACAAUUUUUCUUGAUUUGAGUUUAAAACAAAUAACUUGUUCUCUUUCUUUUUAAUAUUAAAGUUUAUCUAAAAAGAGAAAAGUAAGAAUUAAUAGAUAAGAUAACUACCAACAUCUUUAUUUUAAAAUUAAAUCUAUUUUAAUAUUUAUUUUAACUAACAAAAAUUAUAAUGAAUAAUAAGAUAUUAAGUAGAAAAUAUCAUUUUUUAUUAAUUAAAAAAUAAAAUAAAAACUUUCUCUUUAGCUACUUUUCGGUAUCCUUUGCCUUUAGCUUGAGGGUUGUUUUCUUUUUUUAUUUUAAUUUGGAUAAUUAGUCUAGUUUUAAUAGAAGAGUGAAAGCUUUAGCCAUUCAAUGGCUGCUGGUAAGUUAGUGACCCCUUACUACCUCAAAUAACUUUAAGUUUUUACAAAUAAUUUAGAGGAAUAAUAUUUGAGGAAAGGCUAUGUUUAACAAAGCAGUAAGGGACAAGAGUUUGGCUAAAAAUAAUAAUACAAUAAAAAUUUUAUAAGGUAUAGCUAGAAAUUGAAUGGAGAUCAAUCAACCAGUGAAGGGUUGCGCAGAGUUCAAUGGCGGUAAGCAUGCUUAACUGAAAGACCUAAAAGUCACACAGAUACGUAAGUAGGGCAUAGUGACCCCUCGCUAUAAUAUGGGAUAGACGGGGAUCAAUUAAUAAAAGUUACGCUAGGGAUAACAGGCUGAUCGCGGACGAGAGUACACAUUGUCUCCGCGGAUUGGCACCUCGAUGUCGACUCAUCCUAUCCUCCGGGGGAAGAAGCUUGGAAGGGUUCGGCUGUUCGCCGAUUAAAAGGGUACGUGAGUUGGGUUUAAUACGACGUGAGUCAGUAUGGUCCCUAUCUUCUGGAGGAACAAGUAGUAAAAAGGGGCAGACCUUCUAGUACGAAAGGAUCAAUAGGCUGUGUUUCUCUAGUGUACCAAUUGUUUGUACUUUAUUGUAAGGGACUCAAAGUAUCUUGAAGACAAAAGUAAAGAAAAAUGGGGAAAGUCCUUUUUUAAACUUUUUAAAGUUUACUCUUAAUGGUUUAAAAAAAUUAAAUUAUUAAGAAAAAAAGGGUAACAACUCGGAAGGCAUAGUUGGGUAGCCACAAACAUAAUAGAUAAGUGCUGAAUGUCUAUAAAGCAAGAAUCUAACCCCUAGAUACUAAAAAAUGAAUGAUUAUUACCUUAAAUAUAGACUUGAUAAGAGAAUAUAAAACAAGAUAAUAAUUAGUCAUUAAUUAAGAAAUAGAACAUUUCUAGAUAGGCUGCAAAUGA
rnacentral:rRNA from 1 species